AGGCACCAAAGCAAACAAGCAAGCUUAAACUUUUAGGUUUAGUAGUUUUUUAUAUGAUAUCAGAGCAGGUUGAGCCCGUUUCAGUUUCAAGUUCAGUUUCCCAGUGUUGCCACUGCAUUUCAAGGUUUAGGUUUUAGUUGAAAAUUUUCAAGUUUCAAGGGUCAAUCAAAUGUGCUAGUUGCCGUUUGACAGAGAGUGAAAA
rnacentral:misc_RNA from 1 species